rnacentral:rRNA from 1 species
UCGCUAGUAAUCGCAGAUCAGAAUGCUGCGGUGAAUACGUUCCCGGGUCUUGUACACACCGCCCGUCACACCAUGGGAGCCAGGAAUGCCCGAAGCCAGUGGCCUAACCGCAAGGGAGGAGCUGUCGAAGGCAGGCCCGGUAACUGGGGUGAAGUCGUAACAAGGUAGC